AGAGUUUGAUCCUGGCUCAGAAUCAACGCUGGCGGCGUGCCUAACACAUGCAAGUCGAACGAGAAAGUGGGGGCAACUCCAUGAGUAAAGUGGCAGACGGGUGAGUAACACGUGAACAACCUACCCUCGAGUGGGGAAUAACACCGCGAAAGCGGUGCUAAUACCGCAUAACAUCUUCAGAUUGCAUGAUCUGGAGAUCAAAAGCGCAAGUUGCUUGAGGAGGGGUUCGCGCCUGAUUAGCUAGUUGGUGAGGUAACGGCCCACCAAGGCAACGAUCAGUAGCCGGCCUGAGAGGGCGAACGGCCACACUGGAACUGAGACACGGUCCAGACUCCUACGGGAGGCAGCAGUGGGGAAUUUUGCGCAAUGGGCGAAAGCCUGACGCAGCAACGCCGCGUGGAGGAUGAAGGCCUUCGGGUCGUAAACUCCUGUCAGUGGGGACGAAUGCUUCGCAAGAAGUUUGACUGUACCCGCUGAGGAAGCCACGGCUAACUCCGUGCCAGCAGCCGCGGUAAUACGGAGGUGGCAAGCGUUGUUCGGAAUUACUGGGCGUAAAGGGCGCGUAGGCGGCUUUGCAAGUCAGAUGUGAAAGCCCCGGGCUUAACCCGGGAAUUGCAUCUGAAACUGCUUUGCUUGAGUCCUGGAUGGGAUAGUGGAAUUCCCAGUGUAGCGGUGAAAUGCGUAGAUAUUGGGAGGAACACCUGCGGCGAAGGCGGCUAUCUGGACAGUGACUGACGCUGAGGCGCGAAAGCUAGGGGAGCGAACGGGAUUAGAUACCCUGGUAGUC
rnacentral:rRNA from 1 species